GUCUAUGGCCAUGCCACUCUGAACAAGCCCAAUCCCAUCUGAUCUUGGAAGCUAAGCAGGGUUGGGCCUGGUUAGUACUUGGAUGGGAGACCACCUAGGAAGACCAGGUGCUGUAGGCA
rnacentral:rRNA from 1 species